rnacentral:rRNA from 1 species
GAUGAACGCUGGCGGCGUGCCUAAUACAUGCAAGUCGAGCGAACAGAUGAGGAGCUUGUGCCUCUGACGUUAGCGGCGGACGGGUGAGUAACACGUGGAUAACCUACCUAUAAGACUGGGAUAACCUCGGGAAACCGGAGCUAAUACCGGAUAAUAUAUUGAACCGCAUGGUUCAAUAGUGAAAGACGGUUUUGCUGUCACUUAUAGAUGGAUCGGCGCCGCAUUAGCUAGUUGGUAAGGUAACGGCUUACCAAGGCAACGAUGCGUAGCCGACCUGAGAGGGGGGUCGGCCACACUGGAACUGGGACGCGGUCCAGGCUCCUACGGGAGGCAGCAGUAGGGAAUCUUCCGCAAUGGGCGAAAGCCUGACGGAGCGACGCCGCGUGAGUGAUGAAGGUCUUCGGAUCGUAAAACUCUGUUAUUGGGGAAGAACAAAUGUGUAAGUAGCUAUGCACGUCUUGACGGUACCUAGUCAGAAAGCCACGGCUAACUACGUG